rnacentral:rRNA from 1 species
AUAGCGUAUAUUAAAGUUGUUGCAGUUAAAAAGCUCGUAGUUGAACUUCAGACCUGGCUGGAUGGUCUGCCUAACGGUAUGUACUGUCCGGCUGGGCCUUACCUCUUGGUGAGCCGGCAUGCCCUUCACUGGGUGUGUCGGGGAACCAGGACUUUUACCUUGAGAAAAUUAGAGUGUUCAAAGCAGGCUUAUGCUCGAAUACAUUAGCAUGGAAUAAUAAAAUAGGACUGGGGUUCUAUUUUGUUGGUUUCUAGAGCCGCAGUAAUGAUUAAUAGGGAUAGUUGGGGGCAUUAGUAUUCCGUUGCUAGAGGUGAAAUUCUUGGAUUUACGGAAGACUAACUUCUG